UAUUGUGAUUGUGUAUAGGUACAAAAGGAGCUAAUAACUUUUCUUCCUGUCGUCGCUGGCGAAGUGUCGUUACUUCGUUUCCUUAUUCCUCUCACUCAAAUUUACUCCUGUUUUCCUCGAUUUUUGUUUUGCCACCAAACCCGUUCCUCAACUUUCCUACCAGGAAUAAAUAUUUUGAUUGAUAUCGUUUUCAUCGUUCGAUCGCAUUUCCAUUAGCUGAUGAGCUCGUUGAGCGAACGGUCCUCCCGAUUGGAUAGGAAACGAACAGAAAGGGGGACAGAAGCAGGAAGAACCGGAGAAGAAAAAUAAAAAAGUAUCCAGGCUUUGUGUACCGGUUGACAAGUUCCAACGACGUGCUGCGAGAUUAACGGAAAUUGCUGGUCUUACACGGGGGAUUGUGCAGAAAAUAGCAGGGAUAAUGCAAAUGAACCGGUGAAUUGAUCUUCCAAAUAGAAGUGGAAAACUUUUUAUAGGUUAUUGUAUAGAAAGCGAUUUUAUAGGAGAACUAAUGAUUGGAAUAAGGUAAUUCAGAUAGAGAUAGAUCGACGGGGAAGUUGGAUCCGGUAAGUAGUUCCCAAACUCUGUUUCAGAGGUGCAAUGCGUCGAAAACGAUCGAGUUUAUAUAUGUAUUUUAGACUUCUUUUUUCUUAAUAAUUCAAUUAUAGUAUAUUAAAUUUAUUAUUGAUGAUUAUCAGUGUCUCUUAUGACAAUGAAUAUAUUGAUCCAACUUAUUAACCUAGUUUCAAAUUCUCGUAUAAUAAUUCUAAUUAAAGCAUUCAGGGGGGUCUAAAUGGAAGGUGCAAGAAGAAGGGCAUCAUUAUAACGUGUCACCGAAGAAAAUUGCCAAGGGCUAGGAGAACGUGUAGGAAACAUUCAAACGACGUGUUCUCCUCCUUUACGUGCUUGCAUCGAAUCGAUAACUCCAUGUUACGCGCUCGUUGUCCUCUUACGGACGGUGCGCUGACCUCUGACGAGUUUCCGAAGCUGGGACAUCCAUCAUCUCGGAAGUCCGUCAGGAUAGGGGAGAGGCUCGUCUAUCAAGGGACCGAUUAGCGACGAUAAAGAUCUCGAAAUGAAUGGACCGUGCCACUCGACCGGCUCAUUGUCCUCCCGAGCGUGCAACGACCACCCUCUGCUCCGUUGCACAAUGCUUCACCCCCUAUGUUUUUGCUAAACAAGAGUGAUGCUCGAAAUUAUUAACCCUUUUGUCACGGAAAACACCAAUAGACGUUCAAUUUUCUGCUCCGUUUUUUGAGAAAUAUUAAACAAUUAUUAAAUUGUCAAUUAACUUACUAUUAAGGAAUUAUUUUCUUACAGAACUACUUGAAUUUUACUGUCAAGAAAUUCAAAAAUUAUUAAGUAAGUAAGUAUUUACUGAAUUUUAAUUAAUAUUUUUAAUAUUUCCGUAAAAAUUAUAUUAUUAAUUUCAAAUAGACGAUGAAUUAAAUUAAUUCAUUCUAGAGUAUACCAUAAUGUCUAUUUCUAUUUAUGUAUCUGGUAAAUGGAAAGGUUUAAGGAAUCAAUUACACGGUACACAAAAAUUGUACACGAUAUCGAAGUCUUAUCAAUCAAUUUUCCAAUAUUUACCACAAACAUUUUCCACACUACACCGAAUACCAGCCACAUAAAUUUACUUUAAUCGUGACAGCUAAUGAAAAUGGAUUACCGUUCCUGCUUAAGCAAACAAUUUUCACUCGAGUUCACUGAAUCUAUC